rnacentral:rRNA from 1 species
GACGUAGGGUGCGAGCGUUGUCCGGAUUUAUUGGGCGUAAAGAGCUCGUAGGCGGCUCGUCGCGUCGACCGUGAAAACCCGCGGCUUAACUGCGGGCUUGCGGUUGAUACGGGCGGGCUAGAGUUCGGUAGGGGAGACUGGAAUUCCUGGUGUAGCGGUGAAAUGCGCAGAUAUCAGGAGGAACACCGGUGGCGAAGGCGGCAUCCUGGACCAUUACUGACGCUGAGGCGCGAAAGCUAGGGGAGCAAACGGG